rnacentral:rRNA from 1 species
UACGUAGGGCGCAAGCGUUGUCCGGAAUUAUUGGGCGUAAAGAGCUCGUAGGCGGUGUGUCGCGUCGGCCGUGAAAACCUGCAGCUUAACUGUGGGCUUGCGGUCGAUACGGGCAUCACUGGAGUUCGGCAGGGGAGACUGGAAUUCCUGGUGUAGCGGUGAAAUGCGCAGAUAUCAGGAGGAACACCGGUGGCGAAGGCGGCCCACUGGUCCGGUACUGACGCUGAGGUGCGAAAGCGUGGGGAGCAAACAGG